rnacentral:lncRNA from 1 species
UUUAAUUUAAAAGGGAGGGAAAACCUGUAAUUACGAAGCCGCCUAGGCAUGUGGGCACCUGAUUCAUUUCCCUGGGUAGCACUGUGACUCACCCUCAUUAAAGGAGUUUUGCUUUGAGAAGCCUGAUGUCUUAUCGGGCUUGAGUUCUCUCUGCCCAGUAUGUGAACAAUGAGAUAAGUGUCUCUCCUGGGCCAUCCCCCUGUUCAUCCUCUCUGCUAUGAGUCAGAUGUUUUACAUUUCAAAACAUUAUCCGGCCUCCAAUUCCCCUCUUUAUAAAUUAUGCAGAAAGCCUCCACCAACAACAGGUUCUAAACAGAUGUCUGGAUGUGCAUCUAUAAAGGUCUGUAGUGCUGGGCUGUGAUUCAGCUAGCAGCUUUACGGCCAACCAGCUGUAAUUAGGAUAAGGUGCUGUUUCAUUCAUUGGCUCAUCACUGUGUAAGCAUCAAGGUGCCUCGUUAGAGGAAAGCACAUUCAAACAAAGAUGCCCAAGUCAUGGGGAAAGCCCUUCCAGCAUCCCCUGGCCUCUAGCACAGUGGGUUUCCUCACCUUCACAGGCAACCUCUUAGAAAGAGUUGCCUGCCCUGGCUAGACUCUUCCAUAGCUCUCAGCAGACCUGUCUCUUCCUAGAUAUGGUGAGAGAAGUCUGUUCUGCUUACCCCUUGGGGCACUCUCACAAGUGGCUCUGGGGUACCACACUCCACCCAUCUCCCUCUAUCAUUGUUGUCCUCUGUGUGUACCUCUCCCCCUGGCUAUUCUCCAGGGUUCUAGAUGUCUUAUUUGUGCACUGCCCCUCAAGGGUCUCAGCCACAGAUAUGGCUUCAUUGCUUGACCACACUCUUGUUUUUUGCAAGGUUUUAUCAUUGGCUUAAGCUGGAGUUCAAACUAUUAAACUCAUCUGUGUCCCAGACUGCUCUAUGUGGGUGAUUCAGCUGUGCUUCAGAGCCAACCUGUCUGAGUUGUUUUCCUAUGGCAGCCACAAGAAGGUACUGUGGACAUGGUGGCUUAAAACAGAGAUUUAGCAUCUCAUGGCCCUGCAUGUCAGAGGCCUGCCCCAUGCUCGCUCUGCAGUUCUUAGGGAGCAAUGUUUACUUUUAUGUACACACACACACACACAUAUAUUCACAUACAUGUACAUGCACACACAUACAUAUACACAUAUACAUACAUACACAUGUACACACACAUACACAUAUACAUGCAUUUAUAUAUAUGAGCAUACACAUACAUAUGUAAAUACACACAUAUAUAUACACACACAUGUACAUGCACACACAUACAUAUACAUACAUACAUGCACACAUACAAACAUACACAUAUACAUGCAUUUAUACACAUGAGUAUACACAUACAUAUGCAAAUACACAUAUAUAUACACACAUGUACAUACAUAUACAUACACACAUACACAUAUACAUACACAUACAUAUACAUGUGCAUGCACACACAUACACACAUUUACAUACACAUACACACACACACACACACACACACACACACACACACACAUACUCUUCCAGAUACUACUCUGUGAGGACAGUGUGUAACUCCAGUAUCUGCCUCUGGCCUCUUUUGGUCUCUCUGUCCUUUCUUCUUGUAAUAUUAGUUUUUAUACUUGGGGCAUGGGCAUAUCUUAAAUGACUUUUAAAUACUGAUUAUAUUACAUGUACAUAAACUUAAUGGUGCAGAGACCAUGACUUACUGAUGGGAUCUCUAAAACCUAGUAGUAUGUUGUCCAGUUGUCCAUAAACAAAUCAUUAUGUAGUGAAUACUGAUUGCAGAGAAAGAGAAAAGGAGGGAGGGAGAGAAUGAAGGGAGGAAGGAAAGUUGGAAGAAAAGAAGAAAAUGAAGAAUUAGCCAAUUUGAAAAAAAAAUCAUGAAUGAGCUUAUUAGCAAUGUUUCGGCAUGAAAUUUUAAAGUGUACUUCAAUAAUAUUUUUCUAAUCGACAUACUAAGAAACACGUGAAGUGUCAGUGUCACAUCUGAAGUUAACUCACACACCUUCUAUACUGCAGCAAAGCCCCAUGCUCUCCACGAAUCUUAGAACAUGCAGUUAAAUUCUCCUACACGUGUGUCAGAAUGACUGCUUUUUACAGGUGGUUAACUUGUUGUCUCUGUUGAAACUAUAGGAUAUCCUAUCCUUUCCCAAAUAGGUCUAGAGUAGAGAAUAUUUUAUAUCCUACAAAUUGGAUACAAUUGAGCAAAGAGUGGCAUACUGAUUCC